CUUAAGCAAAGAGUGCUUUUCUUUUUUUCUUUUUGCAUUAUCGAGCUGUUGCAAUGCCGGGAUUAGUUUCAGUCAAAACUCCGCCGGAAACUCCGGCAUUAAGAAUAUCAAUUUCCGAUGAGAACCACGGCCGAAACGGGUCGGGCUCUAGUAGAUCCGAACAAUUUAAUCCGAAAACGAACUCACCUGCGCCACGACGACCUCCAUCACCGUCAACUUCACGGGCGAAGCCAUCUCCGGAUCGGGGCUCCGGAAAGAAGAAAUCUCCGCCGGAGAAGGUUGAAAUCGAGGAGUCAUUUCUUGACAAUCCGGAUCUAGGGCCGUUCCUGUUAAAGCUAGCGCGUGACACCAUUGCCUCCGGUGAAGGUCCGACUAAAGCACUAGACUAUGCUUUACGAGCUGCGAAGUCGUUUGAGAGGUGCGCAGUUGUCGGUGAGCCGAGUUUGGAUCUAGCUAUGAGUCUGCACGUUGUGGCAGCUAUAUAUUGUAGUUUGGGGAGGUUUGAUGAAGCUAUUCCAGUGCUAGAAACGGCGAUUAAGGUGCCGGAAGUUUCAAGAGGCGCAGAUCAUGCUCUUGCGGCGUUCUCAGGGUAUAUGCAGCUUGGUGAUACGUAUUCUAUGCUAGGACAAUUGGAUCGGUCAAUUGAGUCUUACAAAGAAGGGUUGAAAACGCAGAUGGAAGCUUUGGGAGACACAGAUCCAAGAGUCGCAGAGACUUGUAGGUACUUGGCUGAGGCUCAUGUUCAGGCAAUGCAGUUUGAUGAGGCUGAGAGUUUGUGUAAGAAAACAUUGGAAAUCCAUCGUGUGCACAGUCCUCCAGCUUCUCUUGAAGAGGCAGCUGAUCGUCGUUUGAUGGCUCUAAUAUGUGAAGCUAAAUGUGAUUAUGAGUCAGCCCUUGAGCACCUUGUACUUGCCAAUAUGGCUAUGAUUGCCAAUGGACAGGAAACUGAGGUCGCAGCUAUUGAUGUUGGAAUAGGGAACAUCUACUUGUCGUUGUCUCGUUUUGAUGAGGCCGUCUUCUCCUAUCAGAAGGCACUCACUGUUUUCAAAUCAUCUAAGGGCGACAACCAUCCUUCAGUUGCAUCUGUCUAUGUAAGGCUGGCUGACCUAUAUUACAAGACAGGAAAAGUGAGGGAAUCCAGAUCCUAUUGUGAGAAUGCCCUCAGAAUAUACGCAAAACCUGUACCUGGAACAACCCCUGAAGAUAUUGCCAGUGGAUUGAUGGAAAUUUCAGCAAUAUAUGAGUUAUUUAAUGAACCCGAGGAGGCCCUGAAACUGCUGCUCAAGGCAAUGAAACUAUUAGAGGAUAAACCGGGACAGCAAAGUACCAUUGCUGGCAUAGAGGCACGAAUGGGUGUUAUGUUUUAUAUGGUCGGGAGAUAUGAAGAGGCGCGGAAUUCCUUUGAAAAUGCAGUGAUAAAACUUAGAGCCAGUGGUGAAAGGAAAUCAGCUUUCUUCGGAGUUGUUUUAAAUCAGAUGGGAUUGUCUUCUGUACAACUGUUUAAAAUAGAUGAGGCUGCGGAGUUAUUCGAAGAAGCUAGAGAAAUUCUGGAACAGGAGUGUGGCCAUUGCCAUCAAGAUACCCUUGGUGUGUAUAGCAAUCUUGCCGCCACUUAUGAUGCUAUAGGAAGAGUGGAUGAUGCUAUUGAGAUUCUGGAGUACGUUCUUAAACUGAGAGAAGAAAAACUCGGAACUGCAAAUCCUGAUUUCAACGAUGAGAAAAAGAGGCUGGCUGAAUUAUUGAAAGAAGCAGGUAGAUCUCGGAACAAAAACCCGAAUUCCUUAGAAAAUCUUAUUGAUCCAAACUCUAAAAGGACGACGAAGAAAGAGACUUCAUCAAAGAAGUGGUCUGCAUUUGGCUUCAGAAGUUGAUUCUUUCUAGCAAGAAGUUUUUCUAUAACAUUGUAAAGGCACGAAUGUGUGUUAUGUUUUAUGUCACUAUAAACUGGUGAAGCUUAUUGGUUGUUGUCCUUUUGAAUUCAUGUCAUUUAUCUUUUUUUUCAUUCAUUGCUUGAUUGUUUAUCAGUUUGUAAUUUGAUGAUGUUUCUGUUUCAACAAAACCAAUCAAUGUUUAUGGAAGUAAUUACAAAGAUCUGAUGUUAGAGAAA
rnacentral:misc_RNA from 1 species